GAAAUGCUUCAGGACCGGCAGACGUGCAUGAUUCCCCAGUGACAGCAGGACUACAAAAGCCAUUCACAACAUCCCUGUUGAUUCCACUUUACUUCUUGCUUGCUCAUAAACCUGCAAAAGGAUUAACCAAGAAGUUUCACAGAAAUCGCCACAAUAUUCUUUCUAUCCCUACUCUUGCUGCCCUGGUGCAACCAAAUUCCUAUUGAAAACACUGGAUAUUUGAAGCACACAACACUUCUUCCUAAAGCAGAGGAAAGGGGCAGAAGUCCAUAGAUGCAUGGAUCUCAACUUUAAUGGCCAUGGUUCAAUAUCGGUGAAGUUAAAGAAUGAAUAUGAGUGGUUUGUCAGCACGUACUCAACUUCUGAUCAAUAUGUAUUCCACUUCAGGUCUGCAUGUAUCAUUUUAUACUAGUCAACUGUGUGCUCCGGUAGACUUUGGCAUCUUGGAUUGGAAAGCAGGAAGAUAUGGCACACGAUUCCCCUCCACUACCCUAGAAUAACAGCAAUCCAACAUGUCAACUUAGAGGAAAGCAGUACAGCUGACAGACAACACAUCAUGAUCAGAGUGAUGGGUAUCUAUGGGGCAAGUGAAUAAAGACUCUUCUUAAAGAAAAUGUGUCAGAUUUUGACUACUGUUCACAGUUCUGGUCCCUGCAUCUCAGGACAGAUAUAACAGAGAUAUAGGAUGUAGUGAGAAAGGCAAAUGAAACAAAGUGAUUGUGUGGUUGCUCUAGCAAGGAACGAAAG
ensembl:lncRNA